rnacentral:rRNA from 1 species
GAUGAACGCUAGCGGGAGGCUUAAUACAUGCAAGUCGAGGGAGAAGCUAGGUGCUUGCACUUAGUGGAAACCGGCGAACGGGUGCGUAACACGUACGCAACCUACCCUUUACAGAGGAAUAGCCCCGAGAAAUUGGGAUUAAUACCUCAUGGUAUUAUUUGGUGGCAUCACCGGAUAAUUAAAGUUCAGGCGGUAAAGGAUGGGCGUGCGGAUCAUUAGCUAGUUGGUAAGGUAAUGGCUUACCAAGGCAACGAUGAUUAGCCGGCGUGAGAGCGCGAUCGGCCACACUGGCACUGAGACACGGGGCCAGACUCCUACGGGGAGGCAGCAGUAGGGAAUAUUGGACAAUGGAGGAAACUCUGAUCCAGCCAUCCCGCGUGCAGGAUGACGGUCCUCUGGAUUGUAAACUGCUUUUGUAUGGGAAGAAACCUCGAGAUUUAUCUUGAGCUGACGGUACCAUAAGAAUAAGCACCGGCUAACUCCGUGCCAGCCGCC